CCUACGGGCGGCUGCAGUAGGGAAUAUUGCUCAAUGGGGGAAACCCUGAACCAGCAACGCCGCGUGGGGGAAGAAGGUUUUCGGAUUGUAAACCCCUGUCGUCAGAGAAGAUAAUGACGGUAGCUGAGGAAUAAGCACCGGCUAACUCCGUGCCAGCAGCCGCGGUAAUACGUAGGGAGCAAGCGUUGCCCGGAUUUACUGGGUGUAAAGGGCGCGUAGGCGGGGUUGCAAGUCAGACGUGAAAUCCAUGGGCUUAACCCAUGAACUGCAUUUGAAACUGUAGAUCUAGAGUGUGGUAGAGGUAGGUGGAAUUCCUGGUGUAGCGGUGAAAUGCGUAGAGAUCGAGAGGAACACUCGUGGCGAAGGCGGCCUGCUGG
rnacentral:rRNA from 1 species